rnacentral:lncRNA from 1 species
UGGAGAGAGACAAGAAGCAGACGAGAAAGAAUGUGCGCGCAGAGGCGAAUUCUGUACUGGAUGGAAGACAACGUUGAAGAGCAUCCAGCACGUGAGCACGCAGCACAAGAAGAAAAAAAUAAAAGGAAAAGGCAUGUAAUCAGAAGAAAACACGGAGCUUCCAGGGGCCAAUCAGGAAAGGACAAAUCGACCAGAGCGGCAGAAAAGCGAGGUGUGCUGGCAGAAGAAGGGAGAGUUUCAAGAAGCGACGCCAAGAGAAGGUCGGCCACCGGACCGGGAGUUCAAGACAGUUGGCAGGUUGCGGACCUGAGGCACCAGGACUUACCCAACCGGGACCUCCUGCCAACCCGUUCCUGGGCUUUGCCACUCUACCCGAUCGUGAACUGCUGCUCGAAACCGGCGAGUUUCUGCGCCCGCGGGCAGAACGAGAGCAGUCGGGCUAUGGGCCCGAGUUCUACGCCCAGCUGCCUGGCCAGAACGCCACCACCGUCUUCCGCCGCCUGCCUUCCCUCUUCAAACCGGAGCCACCGCACUCUGGUCGCCUGUUCAUCCACCGAUCCCAUCGACAUUGUGUGUGUGCAAAGUUCUUGGCCUCGGUCCAAAAUUUGCCCAAGCUACCAGCUGGACUAAACCGGAACUUCCCUGUCCGUCAUAAGUAAAGUGUCCAGAAGAGCCCCGCAAAAAGAUGGUGUGAAGAUGAACUCGGAAGGUUUAGAUGCCCUGUUAUGAUGUAAGCCCCCAACCUUCUAAGUUACCUGUAAAAUGUGUAGUCUUACCUGAAGAGUAAUUCAUUGUGUGUCAUACCAGCUGACAAAGAGGGUGGUUUUGCAGUUUUUUUUUUCCUUUAAAUGUUUCUUGGAAAAAGCCAGUCAAGCAAUUUCUGCAGUGUUCAAUGAGCGCAAAGAUGUAUCACUUAUGAAAGUAGCAGCAAAACCAAGUGAAAUUUACAGGAAGUUGAAUCUCGAUAAACUAAGGAAAAGCUCAGAGAUGUAAUUUUUAGUAAGUGCACAAGGAGGAUGUUCCUUUUCGGGUCAUAAUUUCCGAAAGGGGUACCUGGCAGAAGCAAGCUGCCCUGUACCUGGUUUCAAAGCUGAAUGUUAAAGAGAUUGAUGACCAGUUUCUUGUAAAAGGUUCUGACGAAUCCUUGAUUUUGUUAGGUUUCAUGGCAAAAAGGGCUUCAAGGCCUUCUCAGCUAAGGUCAAAGAAUUAUAUUAUUCUAUCCUGCUCAAUGACCUUAUCCAUUGUGUCGAGGAUUGUAUUGACAAAUAUGGCGCUGUAAGGUUUUCACAGGAAGCAGGUUGUUUCAGUAGAAGGGUAUUUAGAAUUAUGGUGUUUUUACAUGUCGUCAACCUUUGCACAGUGGAACAAUAGGCUGAAUCUGCAGAAGAACGGCAUUUGCAUAGGGUUGUGUCUGGCUCCCGUCUUUAGCAACCUAUAUUUAGCACAAUUAGAUAGGCACAUAUAUGACCACCUCACGGGACUAACAGUUUUUCAGCGAGCUUUUAGAUUUGUCAACAAUUUUUUAGUGUUUCUGGAUUUCCCUAGUAAUAGUUUUCUAGAAAAAUGUCCUGAUGUCUAAGAUUUCUUGCAAGUGUUUGAGACCUCUUGAAGUGACUUUUGAAGUGCAAUACGUUUCAGUUUCUUGACUUUCAGUUCAUCUUUACUGAUAGUAGGACUUGCUGGGCUUACACUCCAUGAGCUAAGAAACCCCUUCUCCAAUUUCAUUCAGCCCAUUUGAAUUUGGUGAAGAGGGGCAUAACUAACUAAUAGGGAUGGCUUUCUGCCCACUACUGCGCAUGUGGAUGUAGGCCGAAAUUCAAAAAAUGUUUUAUCGUUGCAAAACACGGAGACCGUGUUACACGUGAGAUAAUCAAAGUGGGAGAAAUUCUAUGUUUAAAGGAUGGUUGCAUCAGCACCCCUCUAUCGCUCUCACUGACAGGAGAUCAGACACCUCGGGCUAUCACCACGUUGAAUUUUGUGUGGCUUUGUCGUGGCGUUCUAAGUAUGGUUGGUGGGCUAUUGUGUGACUGUAUAAAUAGCGAUGCUUUCUGAAAAGAAAAUAAACAGUUGGAAGUUCAGCGCUCCGUUCUCUCUUCUAUCCCUUCUGGUGGCUUUGCGCUGUUAACCUGACCUUGAAGCAUAAUUUUUCAACAAACCCAAUCUUACACCCUUCGUAACUAACGUGUUUCAAAAACGUCCUAAUGAAAACCAGUUUCCAGCAACAGGCUGCAAGUCUUAAGGAGGCUGGUUAUCCUAACCACGUGUUGGUGUCGGUGGCAGAAAGGCUGCUGAAACAGGAACGUUCGAGACGAUGCCUCCGUGCAAAUGCAAGAGCUAGCAGCUGUGACCAGGUGAAAACCGCUGUGAUUCCGUAUAUGCGCCAGAUAUCACACAGCCUGAAAAAGAUAGGAAGCCAAGGUAACGUGCGGGUGUUUUUUCAGCUCCAAAUAAGCUAAGCACCUUGUGUAAAACCACUAACCUAAUAAGGACAAAAAAGUCGGUUUGUGGUAGAAUCGCAAAGAUGAGUUCGUCGGAUGCGCUGUAGGAGUGGUCUAUCAUAUUCCACUGUCAUGCGGUAGAUGCUACAUAGCCCAAACCGGAAGAUGCAUUAAUGAGCACUUAAGAGAGCACAGAAAUAUAGUGUAUCAGGUGACGAUUUUCUUGCUUUGCAUUGCAAUACAUGUCCAUGUCGCCCUCUUCUAAAUGACACCGCUGUUAUAUACAGGGAUAAGCAUAAGUGUGUAACAUUAAUAGUAUAAACUGGGCAAAUCCUCUCGGCCGCUGACCAAUGUAUCAGCAAACUAUCACUAUCAUUGUCUGUGAGAAAGUUAGAUUAUUUGCGCAUGCCAUGAAAGUUGACUGCAUUUGCAAUGGAUCAUUUAGGUUUCUUGGUGUUUUCUUGUUGUACCUGUUUUAGACAGUGUGGCUCUACUCAUGAGCCAUAUAUACAGUCGACUUCCAUUAAUUUGAUCAUCUUUCUGGGGUUUUACUUGCCAAAACCAGUUCUGAUUAUGAGGCAUGCCCGUUAAUUCGAUCCUGACGGGACCAUUGAGACUGGUCGAAUUAAACAAAAGGCAUAAGAAACAUUGAAACAUGCCAUUGCUUCACUUUGCAGUAUUUGCCUUUAAAAUUAACUUUGGUCGCAUUUCAGUUUAGCGCUACACCUGCAACGAUCAACAGCUACCAACUCGCCCAGUUUACUAUUUUUCGUAAUGUUAGCUUCGCUGCAAUACAGCCAUAUUAUGCAUAGAACCAUACCAAGCAGGGAAAGGUGCCAUUGUUGCAAGACAGCACGUGUUCCCUAAUUUACGUACAUGCACAUGUGCAGUCUCCAGUCACAGUAUGAGCACCAAGACGCCUAAUAGGUGUAUGGGCAGGCCUUCAGAGUUUGAUAUAUUCACCCUCUUUUGUUGGCUUUUAACAUCUCCUCGGCUUAUCGCAGUUUUUUCAACUUACUGCCUUCCUUUUUGCUAGCUUUCCCAAAACACGAUUGUUUUCCACUUCUCUGUGCAUGGCACAUUUACUUAAAGAACAUGUACUAGGCUUCAUUAAUGGUCUCAUAUACGAGACAUGCAUGGAAGGUGAAAAAAGGACUCAAAUCACCACUGAAACGUAAGAAGCAGCUCUGAAUGGCUGCCAGUAUGCUUAUUAGGUGGCUAGGUGCUCCUACUGUGACAGGAGACUGCAUGCCUGUAUAAUCAAGGAACACGUGCUAUGUCCUGUGAGAGUGGCCCUUUUCCAUUCUUGGUAUGCUUCACCACAGUAAGUUGCAUAUGCUUCAGCGCAUAACACAGCUGUAUUUGGGCGAAUCUGACCAGUGAGGUUCAAAUUAUCCGACGAAGGCCAAUUUUGAGAUUGAAAUAACAGAAGUUUGGGCUCACAGAAAUGUAUUUCAUUAAAUAAAAAACAAUCAUUAGCAAACAACUUUAUUUAAAAGGGGUGACUGACUACUUCUAUAUCAUUAAUAUAUAUUAAAAAUGACAAGAGGCCAAGCAUGCUGCUUUGAGGAACACUGGAAGUAACUGGCACUUCAUGGGAAGGGCAAUCGCUUAUGCUGACGAAUUGUUUGUGCUUAGUUAAGUAUGCAGAGAUUCAGCCAAUUAAGUAUGGCAGAAGAUUUGUGAUUUCGAGCUUCUCAAUUAGUUUAGAGUGUCAGACAAGCUCAAAUGCUUUUCUGUCUGCAAUACAGGAAUAUAACAUCAAUCUGGCCAGGUUUAUCAAGAAUGCUAGCAAAUGCUUGCAUGUAUAAACCCGUGAUCCAACUUCCAAUAAAUCGUUGAAAGUA